UGCGUAGGCCGCACGGUAAGUCAGAGGUGAAAUCCCGGAGCUCAACUCCGGAAUGGCCUCCGAUACUGCCGUGCUCGAGGACUGGAGAGGAGUCUGGAAUUCACAGUGGAGCAGUGAAAUGCGUAGAUAUUGUGAGGAACACUAGUGGCGAAGGCGAGACUCUGGACAGUUCCUGACGCUGAGGCACGAAGGCCAGGGGAGCAAACG
rnacentral:rRNA from 1 species